rnacentral:rRNA from 1 species
CUACUGAAAAGUUUGAUCAUGGCUCAGAUUGAACGCUGGCGGCAGGCCUAACACAUGCAAGUCGAGCGGAUGAAGGGAGCUUGCUCCUGGAUUCAGCGGCGGACGGGGGAGUAAUGCCUAGGAAUCUGCCUGAUAGUGGGGGAUAACGUCCGGAAACGCGCGCUAAUACCGGAUACGUCCUGAGGGAGAAAGGGCGGGAUCCUCGGACCUCACGCUAUCAGAUUAGCCUAGGUGGAAUUAGCUAGUUGGUGGGGUAAAGCCCUACCAAGGCGACGAUCCGUAACUGGUCUGAGAGGACGAUCAGUCACACUGGAACUGAGACACGGUCCAGACUCCUACGGGAGGCAGCAGUGGGGAAUUUUGGACUAUGGGCGAAAGCCAGAUCCAGCCAUGCCGCGUGUGUGAAGAAGGUCUUCGGAUUGUAAAGCACUUUAAGUUGCGAGGAAGGGCAGUAAGUUAAUACCUUGCUGUUUUGACGUUACCAACAGAAUAAGCACCUACUAACUUCGUGCCAGCAGCCGCGGUAAUACGAAGCGUGCGAGCGUUAAUCGGAAUUACUGGGCGUAAAGCACUGAGUAGGUGGUUCAGCAAGUUGGAUGUGAAAUCCCCGGGCUCAACCUGGAACUGCAUCCAAAACUACUGAGCUAGAGUACGGUAGAGGGUGGUGGAAUUUCCUGUGUAGCGGUGAAAUGCGUAGAUAUAGGAAGGAACACCAGUGGCGAAGCGACCACCUGGACUGAUACUAACACUGAGGUGCGAAAGCGUGGGGCAGCAAACAGGAUUAGAUACCCUGGUAGUCCACGCCGUAAACGAUGUCGACUAGCCGUUGGGAUCCUUGAGAUCUUAGUGGCGCAGCUAACGCG